GGUCAAGCUACCAAGAGCUGAUGGUGGAUACCUAGGCACACAGAGGCGAUGAAGGACGCGGUUACCGGCGAUAUGCCACGGGGAGCUGGAAGCAAGCAUUGAUCCGUGGGUUUCCGAAUGGGGCAACCCUAUAUACUGCCACCUGAAUCCAUAGGGUGGUAAGAGCUAACCCAGUGAACUGAAACAUCUUAGUAGCUGGAGGAAGAGAAAGAAAAAUCGAUUCCCCUAGUAGCGGCGAGCGAAGCGGGAAGAGCCUAAACCAAAGUGCAUGCAUUUUGGGGUUGUGGGACAGCGACAUGGAAUCUAGAGGCUAGACGAAGCAGCUGAAUACUGCACCAGAGAAGGUGAAAGUCCUGUAGUCGAAAGUCAAAGGAUACUAGCUGAAUCCCGAGUAGCCUGGAGCACGUGAAAUUCCGGGUGAAUCAGCGAGGACCACCUCGUAAGGCUAAAUACUCCUGUGUGACCGAUAGUGAACCAGUACCGCGAGGGAAAGGUGAAAAGAACCCCGGGAGGGGAGUGAAAUAGAACAUGAAACCAUCAGCUUACAAGCAAUGGGAGGCCGAUUAAACGGCUAACCGUGUGCCUGUUGAAGAAUGAGCCGGCGACUUACAGGCAGUGGCAGGUUAAGGCGAGAAUGCCGAAGCCAAAGCGAAAGCGAGUCUGAAUAGGGCGAUAGUCACUGUUUGUAGACCCGAACCCGGGUGAUCUAACCAUGUCCAGGAUGAAGCUUGGGUAACACCAAGUGGAGGUCCGAACCGACCAAUGUUGAAAAAUUGGCGGAUGAGGUGUGGUUAGGGGUGAAAUGCCAAUCGAACCCGGAGCUAGCUGGUUCUCCCCGAAAUAUGUUGAGGCAUAGCGGUUGAGAUUAUAGCUGGGGGGUAAAGCACUGUUUCGGUGCGGGCUGCGAGAGCGGUACCAAAUCGAGACAAACUCUGAAUACCCAGUGUACACUCAGCCAGUCAGACGGUGGGGGAUAAGCUCCAUCGUCAAGAGGGAAACAGCCCAGACCACCAGCUAAGGUCCCCAAAUUGCCGCUAAGUGGUAAAGGAGGUGGGAGUGCAUAGACAACCAGGAGGUUUGCCUAGAAGCAGCCAUCCUUAAAAGAGUGCGUAAUAGCUCACUGGUCAAGCGCUCCUGCGCCGAAAAUGAACGGGACUAAGCGGCAUACCGAAGCUGUGGGAUAUAUCUAUCGAUGUAUCGGUAGGGGAGCGUUCCGCAGUAGUUAGAAGCAUCAGCGAGAGCAGGUGUGGACGAAACGGAAGUGAGAAUGUCGGCUUGAGUAGCGAAAACAUUGGUGAGAAUCCAAUGCCCCGAAACCCUAAGGGUUCCUCCGGAAGGCUCGUCCACGGAGGGUUAGUCAGGACCUAAGGCGAGGCUGAGAAGCGUAGUCGAUGGACAACGGGUCAACAUUCCCGUACCGCUAAAUGUUUGUGAAGGGGGACGGAGAAGGCUAAACCAGCCGGAUGAUGGUUACCGGUUCAAGCAUACGAGGCGAUGAGGAGCGGCGAAAACGUUCUGAGCUGAGUUGUGAGUACGAGAGUCUACGGACUCGAAGUGGUUGAUGUCAAGCUUCCAAGAAAAGCCCUAAACACGUUAAGCAUUUAGUGCCUGUACCCGAAACCGACACAGGUAGGGAGGUUGAGAAUACCAAGGGGCGCGAGAUAACUCUCUCUAAGGAACUCGGCAAAAUGGCCCCGUAACUUCGGGAGAAGGGGUGCCACCGAGAGGUGGUCGCAGUGAAGAGUCCCAGGCGACUGUUUACCAAAAACACAGGUCUCCGCUAAGUCGUAAGACGAUGUAUGGGGGCUGACGCCUGCCCAGUGCCGGAAGGUUAAGGAAGUUGGUCAGGGAGCAAUCCUGAAGCUAGCGACUGAAGCCCCGGUGAACGGCGGCCGUAACUAUAACGGUCCUAAGGUAGCGAAAUUCCUUGUCGGGUAAGUUCCGACCCGCACGAAAGGCGUAACGAUCUGGGAGCUGUCUCGGAGAGAGGCUCGGCGAAAUAGGAUUGUCUGUGAAGAUACGGACUACCUGCACCCGGACAGAAAGACCCUAUGAAGCUUUACUGUAGCUUGGUAUUGGGUUCGGGCUCUGCUUGCGCAGGAUAGGUGGGAGGCUUAGAGACAUUCCUUGUGGGGAAUGAGGAGCCGCCGGUGAGAUACCACUCUGGCAGAGCUAGAAUUCUAACUUUGACCCGUAAUCCGGGCGAGGGACAGUAUCAGGUGGGCAGUUUGACUGGGGCGGUCGCCUCCUAAAAGGUAACGGAGGCGCGCAAAGGUUCCCUCAGGCUGGUUGGAAAUCAGCCGAAGAGUGUAAAGGCAUAAGGGAGCUUGACUGCGAGAGCUACAACUCGAGCAGGGUGGAAACACGGCCUUAGUGAUCCGACGGCGCUGAGUGGAAGGGCCGUCGCUCAACGGAUAAAAGUUACUCUAGGGAUAACAGGCUGAUCUCCCCCAAGAGUUCACAUCGACGGGGAGGUUUGGCACCUCGAUGUCGGCUCAUCGCAACCUGGGGCGGUAGUACGUCCCAAGGGUUGGGCUGUUCGCCCAUUAAAGCGGUACGUGAGCUGGGUUCAGAACGUCGUGAGACAGUUCGGUCCAUAUCCGGUGCAGGCGUAAGAGCAUUGAGAGGAUUCUUCCUUAGUACGAGAGGACCGGGAAGAACGCACCGCUGGUGUACCUGUUAUCGUGCCAACGGUAAACGCAGGGUAGCCAAGUGCGGAGCGGAUAACCGCUGAAAGCAUCUAAGUGGGAAGCCCACCUCAAGAUGAGUGCUCUCACUGGGUCAACCAGGUAAGGUCACGCGAAGAACACGCGUUAAUAGGCGUCAGGUGGAAGUGCAGUAAUGUAUGAAGCUGAGGCGUACUAACAGACCGAGGGCUUGACCUC
rfam:Geitlerinema sp. PCC 7407, complete genome.